rnacentral:rRNA from 1 species
ACGGGAGGCAGCAGUGAGGAAUAUUGGACAAUGGUCGGAAGACUGAUCCAGCCAUGCCGCGUGAAGGAAGAAUGUCCUAUGGAUUGUAAACUUCUUUUGUACGGGAGCAAUAAGGUGUAUGCAUACACCGAUGAGAGUACCGUACGAAUAAGCAUCGGCUAACUCCGUGCCAGCAGCCGCGGUAAUACGGAGGAUGCGAGCGUUAUCCGGAUUUAUUGGGUUUAAAGGGUGCGUAGGCGGACUGUUAAGUCAGCGGUGAAAUACCACGGCUCAACCGUGGGGCUGCCGUUGAUACUGGCGGUCUGGAGUACGAUCGGCGCCGGCGGAAUGUGUCAUGUAGCGGUGAAAUGCAUAGAUAUGACACAGAACACCGAUCGCGAAGGCAGCUGGCGAGAACGAUACUGACGCUGAGGCACGAAGGUGCGGGGAUCAAACAGGAUUAGAUACCCUGGUA